CUUUUCAAACACACUCUCAACUGGGGGUGUGAAGUCUUCAAGAGGACCCCAGAAGUAAUAUUUCAAAGUAAAGGAGUUCUGAUCUGAAGGACAAAGGCUCGGGGAGCCAAGGACAAGGAGUACAGUAUUCCUCUUGUUCAGCACCUCGCUUCUUACUGUGCUGGUUUUCUUUCUGUAAGGUGAAACUAAGUCCCAGAAGACCACGACGGCAUCUCGCCCAGGAGUCAGAAAGGGAACUGGACCUUCCAGCUCCUGGCCGAGAGCCCAGGAGACCAAGCAGGCCCAGGAGACCCAGGCCCAGGAGACCAAGCAGCGGGCUCUCUGGGGGCUGCUGUUUCGGCUGUCUGCAGCAGGGGGCAUUACUGGCAUCUGCAGGAGGCCACAGGUGAGACUCAGAGGCGGCCCCAAGGCACUGCGGUGGAGUCCCCAGCACUGGGGGAGGUGAGGAGAGAGAAGCCAAGCCCAGAAAGUGGCAUCCGGAGCCCGGAACGCCCUCCCUGCAGAGCGCCCUUCCCCUGCCGCCCAGCAGCCUCCUGGGCCAAGCCGCUGGGUCUGGGGCUGCGGGAGAAGUCAAGCGCAGAGGACAGGAGAGCCACGGGAGACUGCCACCUCACACAGCCCCUGUGAAGCCCGAGAGGAUGGUCUGCUCUUAGGCUUGCAAGAGGCAGUCGGGGAGUCACGAAACAGCCUUCUCUCGGAGAAGAAGUAGACAGUCCCAGCUCCUGGUUCCAGCCGUGUGACCUGGGUACCCAGCAUCUCUCUGGGCACCAGGUCCCAUUAUUCCUGUUCCUGAAGCAGGAAUAAUGUACAUCCUAAAUACCCAACCCACUUUAUAGCCAUCAGGCACAUCACAUGAGAUAAUAUGGAAACACCACUGUGAAAACUUUCAGAGGAUUGACUCCCCAAAAGGGUGUGGCUGCGGGAGGACGAGAGCUUUCAUACACCCUACUGUGGCCUCAGCCUGGCACCACCUAAGGCAACUUAGGGACAACUCUUAGGGAAUGCUUAACUCACGUUCCACUUUUUAAAAUAUUUUCCACAGAUAUAUUUGCAUGGAAUAUGUAACGAUUAUAGUAGUGUUUGUAACGUUUUUAAAAAUGGCGGGGCACCUGGACGGUUCAGUCUAUUGAGCGUCCGGCUCGAUCUCGGCUCAGGUCAUGAUCUCAGGGUCGUGAGAUCGAGCCCCGCAUAGAGCUCCGCACUAGACAUGGAGCCCGCUUGAAAUUCUCUCUUUCCUUCUUCCUCCCUCUGUACGCCCUGCUCAC